AUUUACUGUUAUUGUCAGUAAGUUGGGUUUUAGCGACCUUCUUGCUGCAGCCUGGGAACUCCUGCAGCUCCAGGCAGUGAGCUGGGGAAAUAGAGUUUACGUCCUUCGUUUUCUUUCUUUCUGCCAUCAUGGUUCUCCGCUGCCUGUUGCCUAGUGUCUGAAAAGUAUUUCAUGUCUUUUGCUGUUUCUUGUUUAAGAUGGGAAGGAGAAAACCCCAUUCCUCUUACUGCAUCAAAGCUGGAAAUAGAUGUCCUCAGCAGUGUAAUUUCUAAUGAAUGUGAACAUCCUCUUCAGAAAGUCCCUUUUUCAUGUGAAGUAUGAGAGAGAGAGAGAGAGAGAAAGAGAGUGAUUUAUUCAGUCAUGAAAAGUAUAAUACAUGUACCAGAAUGUGACUGUAUUUGAACAUGGCAGCUGCUGCCUUUUUAAAAACAGAAUGAAAUAAUUAGUCACAGCCAGAACUUAACCAUAUCUUGGACACGUCAGCCUUUUUCAGUCUCCAUGUCACGGUAUGGCUAGUUCCUUCUGCUUGGAAUGCUUCCUCGUCUCAUGUCCUUUCCAGUCUGGCAGCUUCCCAUGUAUCCUCUGGAACCAGCUCCAGGGUCGUCAGCUCUCUGCUUCCCAGUGCCCUCACACAGAACCUGUGUUAUUUCCUCCUCUGGCUUCCCAUCUCCCUCUGCCCUAGCACCGUUCCAGCACAUAACAGGCUCCAUUGUGAUUAUGUUUCUGUGUGGACACCCUCCUACCAGGCAGCCCUGGAAAGCAGGGAACGGAUGUUUCUCUUAUCCCUAACACAGCGUUACUACAUAGAACUUUUCAAUAAAUAACUGAACUGGUGCCUCAUUUCAUGUGCUGAAAAAUUCUGCUGUUACUACUCCCCAACUCAUUAUCACAUAUUUAUAAAAGUGAAUCCUCUUUAACCGUUUUACUUUUCUCCUAGUAAAUUCCUCAUCUAUGCCUGUUUGCUGCUGUUCUCUGUGCUACUGGCCCUUUGUCUGGAUGGCAUCAUUCAGUGGAGUUACUGGGCUGUUUUUGCUCCAAUAUGGCUGUGGAAGUUAAUGGUCAUUGUCGGAGCCUCGGUUGGAACUGGAGUCUGGGCACGAAAUCCCCAGUAUCGAGCAGAAGGAGAAACGUGUGUGGAGUUUAAAGCCAUGUUAAUCGCAGUGGGCAUCCACUUGCUCCUGUUGAUGUUCGAAGUCUUGGUCUGUGACAGGAUCGAGAGAGGAAGCCACUUCUGGCUGCUGGUCCUCAUGCCGCUCUUCUUUGUCUCCCCGGUUUCGGUUGCAGCUUGUGUUUGGGGCUUUCGACAUGACAGGUCACUGGAGUCUGCGCACCUCAGCGUGGGCCUCUGCGGCUCUGCGACCUCACAACAGGUUCCUCAGGACUUCAGCUGCCGAUUCCUGGAGCCGCUGGAUGCUGGUGGUCAUGGAAACCGGCUCCGACGCGCCAGCAGCCCUGAGGCUCCGGGAUGGUCCUCCGGAUACAGUCGUCAGGCUGGGCACCGAGGCAACCCAGCCCACCUCACUAGUAACCCUCUGCACCAUCCCUUCCGCCCCACCUCCCACCAGCACGCCCCGACACCCGACCCCAAAUACCCCCUCCCACUUAACUUCCCACCCCACACAGCCCUCCCCCGUCCCCCACCACCCCAACUCCCACACCCUCAGCUUCCCACCGCCUACCUUCCCGCACCCUCCCGCCUGCCCCACUUACCUCACUCCACCCCAACAACACCUCACUACUACACCUCCCACGGCCCCGUCCACCCCUCCUCUGACCACCGCGCCCAUACACUGGUCCCCAACGCCCCCACCCAUCCACUUCCCAGCCCCCAGCUCCCCCCACCCCUCCCCCCUCCCCGCAGCUCCCUCCAACCCACCCACUUGCCCUUGCUGACACCCCCCCAGAACUCUCCCAGCACCAAGAUCCCACCCCACAUAUACCCCCACCGCUCCCCCCACUGCCGCACCUCCCCCACCCCAUCACUCCACCUCACUACUACCCCUCUCCACUGCCUCUUUCCCCCCUCCCUCCACCCCGCAUCGCCCCAUCCACCGAAAUCCCCAUUCCCCAAAACCCUCCCCCUGCUGCACACCACCCCACCUCCUGUCCCCAAACUUUGCAACCCCUAUUUUCCCGCACCCCUCCCUGACUCCCCCAACUAUCACAACCCCACCUGGACACCGCCUCACUACUACAUCUCUCCACAGACACUUGCCCACACCUCUCACUGUCGCGCCCCCAAACUUGCCCCCAUCUCCCCCAUCCACUGACUUCCCACCCCCAGCAAACCCCACUCCUCACCCCGCCUCACAGCUCCCUACAACCCCCAGCUCCCACAAGCCCCACCUCCACCCCCCCCACCUCCCGACACCCGCACCCUCACCUCCCCCCAUGUUCCCAACAUCCGGCCCCCCACAUCUCCCCUUCUUCCCCCCACUGCCCCACCUCCCCGCAUCCGACCACCGCACCACAUCCACUAGGGACCUGGGGAGGCAGAGCCCUGGGCCUCGUGAGCUGCAGCAGGUGGGAGAAGGCGGGGUUUAAGGGAUGCCCAGAGGGAGGAGCGAGGAUCCCCCACCCCGCCCCCGAAUCCUUGUGCGCUCCACCCGGCAGCCUCCAGGGGGCGCUCCGACCCAGCUUCCGGAUGUGAUGUCAUUAGUCUUCCGACUGGGAGGCCUGAGGGACGGGACGGCCUCAGUGUCUGACGCCGGAUUCAGGUCACGCACAAGGACUCCAGGGAGGGGAGGGCCUGUAAGUGACGCCUGGACCCAGGCCAGCUGAGACAGCACCCCAGGCCCCGACAGGCUUCUCCAUGCCAGGAGCAUCGCCAGCCCUGGGCCGGGCCUGG